CCGGGCACGGACGUGCGGUGAGCUACUCACGGUUCACGACUCCUUUAUCGAGAGGCUGUGUGAGGCCGGCCUCCUACCGAUGUGUCGGCUGGUGGAGGCUGCUGCCGGCGACGCGGACCCGGCCAGACGAUGGAUUGACAGGUCCCCGUCCAGCUGCGCACGUUCCUAGGCCGACUCCCCCUCCGCACGGAGGGUUUCGUGCACCGUUCAGCACCCCGCCUUCCUCGGCUAGGCCUUCUGUUGUGCCCCCC